AGGCGGACACGGAGCCGGGGAGGAGCUGCGGGGCCCGGCAGAGCCUUUCCCGGGAAACAAAACCUGCGGCUUCUCCCGCCUCGGCCCCACGGCGAGGGGCAGCGCAGCAGAGCGGAGCAGCAUCUGAGCAGGCGGGUCAGGCGGGAAGAUGCGGCUGGGGCUGGAGGUAGAGCUUGCAAUCUUCUUACAUCUAAAUGAACGUGGAAAGCAAGGAGAGACGUGCCAUAAAAGCACCGCGGGUGCUCGGGCAGGUGAGAUAUGACUCAGGGGAGAGAGUCGCUUUCCUGAGCUCCUGAAGUUUCAAUUGCCUCUCUCAGGAGCAGUCGUGAGAAAUUUCGCAUUUGGAGUUAGGAUCCAAAAAGAAGGAACCUGAAACCGCUUUUUCUAAUACAUCCAUAAGAUUCACUGAGAGAGAAGCCCUGAGAAACCCUGAGAAACCCUGUAAAUUGCAAUUCAGAGCAUCUUCAGGCUCCUAGUCCUCGGAGGUGGUGGCGCUUGGUGUGCAGAAAACAUCCCAGGCUGUCCGCCUCGGGUCUGGUUGUGCAUUUCCACAGCUCCUCAGAGUGGGAAAAGGCCAGGAAGGUGGUGGGAAGGGCUUUCUCCCAGGCCUGGGCAUUCUCAAGACACCUUAACAUUUGUUUGUUGUCUUUUUGUUUCCCAGCCCAGGGCUAAGUUGGAGAAAAGGCGGAGAGGAUGGUAAGUGGGAAUUCCAUUUUUAAAUCUGCCCUUGAAUUGCUGUUUCUCCCGGCAGAUCUGUGCUGCCUAAAGUACAAAGGAAGGAGAUGAUGGGAGUACCUAUUUGUUCACCUGUUGUGCUUGGAAGAGAUGUGAAAUUCCAGGGAAGCCGCGCUUGCUGGAGUGACUGAAGGGAGAAGCACCUUGUCCGUAUUCCCCCCACCGGUGCCUGGUGUGGUCCUUUCCUCUCUGGCUCCUUGUUUCCCUCUUUGUCUCUGCAUCCCUCUGUCCUUGCUGUGUGUUCUGCAGUCUGUCUUUUUCUGUGUCCUUCUCCACACCUCACUCAUGUGCCUUUUUUAUUCCCUUUGGCUCUCUGCUGAUCCCCGUGCUGUUGUUUCCUGCUGGAUCCUUGUGUCCCGUUCCCUGUGUCUGUUCUUUUUCAAUCCCUCUCAGCCCAGGUUUUUUGUUUGAGUGGGGUUGUUUGUUUGUUUGUUACUUUUGGUAUUUUUGUUUUGUUGUUGUUAUUUUGUUUUAUCUAUUUCAUCCUACACCCCAUUCUUUUGUUCUUUCUUUUCUUCCUGUGUCCUCUGUGUCACCACUCUCUCUUUCUGCCUCUGGCCUGUGCCUGGGGUUACGGGGGAGGGAUUUCUGGGACCUGCCCCCCUUUUCUUGUUGCAGCUCCUUUUUGGGAGGGGAUCUAGACCUAGAAAGGCUUCCAAUAAAGCAAGGUGCUGCUGUCCAGGGCA